rnacentral:rRNA from 1 species
UACGGUGGGGGCAAGCGUUGUUCGGAAUUACUGGGCGUAAAGGGCUCGUAGGCGGCCAACUAAGUCGGACGUGAAAUCCCUCGGCUCAACCGGGGAACUGCGUCCGAUACUGGAUGGCUUGAGUUCGGGAGAGGGAUGCGGAAUUCCAGGUGUAGCGGUGAAAUGCGUAGAUAUCUGGAGGAACACCGGUGGCGAAGGCGGCAUCCUGGACCGAUACUGACGCUGAGGAGCGAAAGCGUGGGGAGCGAACAGG